ensembl:lncRNA
GGUGCCCUGAGAUUAGAAAGCCCUGUGUUCAUUCAUUGAUUCUGUCGCUCUCUUCUCUCUCCAGCAGACGUCCGGUGUGGUAGGGCAGCCGCCUGUUGAAUCCGGUUUUCCUUUGGGUUAAAUGCCCUGGACAACACCCACCAUUUACACUUUACCCUCAUGCACAUCCUACACUACUGAUAAUACUGACAUUCGCAUCCCAUCUGGAAUGGUUAUGGUUUUUCGUUGUUUUGUGUGUUAAAUAAAGAAUGUUACACCUCGGAAACCAGUGUAACUCCAAUCUUGUCAUGGCCCAAAGAGCCAGGUCGUGACAAAUGGGGGCUCGUCCAAUUCUGGUCAGUGAUUUGUUUGAUGAUCAAGUGUGUAGAUUUCGUGUGACGCGUGUUUUUGUGUGGAUCAGCUGUGAGCGGUUGGUGCGCGUUUGGUUUGGUGGUGAUCGCCAGGUUGUCUCUGUUGCGGAAAGUUUGGGAGUCAUGCUGGAUUUUGAAGGUUUAGCUCUGGUUCGUUGUAGCUCUGGUUCGUUGGUCCGUUGUAGUUCUUAGGUCCGUUGUAGUUGUAGCUCUGGUUCGUUGUAGCUCUGGUUCGUUGUUCUUUGGUCCGUUGUAGCUCUGGUUCGUUGUAGUUCGUUGGUCCGUUGUAGCUCUGGUUCGUUGUAGUUCGUUGGUCCGUUGUAGCUCUGGUUCGUUGUAGUUCGUUGGUCCGUUGUAGUUCGUUGGUCCGUUGUAGCUCUGGUCCGUUGUAGUUCGUUGGUCCGUUGUAGUUCUGGUUGUGGAAGCGUUUAGAGGUUUUUGUUUUUUUUCUCUUUCGCGAAGUCGAUUGCGCGUGGUCCAAAGAGAAAGUACGUGUUGCCGCCCUGAUGCGCUGUGUUUGGAGUUUCCCUGUCAGGUUAUAGUGGCGUCUCCCCUUUGGGUUGAGUCAGUUUUUUUUUGUAGUGUUGUGGCAACGUGGUUAGUGUCAGCUGUCUAUGGACGGUUGUCUCGGGAGCACGUCCGUGGGAUCCUGCGUUGUGGCCUACUUGUGGGUGACUUCUCAGACCUGCUGGUUUCCAGUGCGUAAUUACCCACCGCAAGCUGCAUGAAGACUAGGUGAGUUUAGUAAGAGUUUGGACUAGGCAGUUAGGGGGAAUACUCCGCGGGGCAAGUUGCCUUCGUUUGUGUGCGUUUGGGGGGUAAUACGGUGCGUUCUGUUUGGUCUGUCUUCCUUGUCGGGGUUUUUUUUGAGCAGCAGAAGGAGCUGCUGAUGAUCCGGUUAAACUUGGAAACUGAGCGGAAAAUUCAAAUCGAAAAGGUUCGGCAGCAAACAGAAAAAAUGAAACCGGAAUUGCAGCAGUAUAAAUUGAGUUUGAUUUGUGACGGUAAGCUUUCGCAGACUAUGGCAGAGGAAGGUUUCCCGGAGUCUGUCCGUCUCAGGUUCGAUGUUGAGGCUAAUUUGCGUUUAAUGCCCAGAUUUAAUGAGAAGGAUCCUGAUACGUUUUUCACUUUGUUUGAGCAUUUGAUCAUAGAUUGUGUGGGGCCUUUACCAACCUCAAGGUCUGGUUGUUCUUCUCUGCUGUCUGUGAUGUGCCAGACAACAAGAUAUUCUGCAGUAUAUCCUUUGCGUUCAAUUUCUGCAAGAUCAAUAGUGAAGGCCUUGACACAAUUCUUUUCAAUUUUUGGCGUUACGCGUGUGAUUCAGAGCGACCAAGGUUCGAACUUUACAUCGCACUUGUUUGGACAGAUGUUGAAACGGUUGAAGGUGACUCAUAACCGUGCGUCUGCUUAUCAUGCGCAAAGUCAGGGAGCAUUUGAACGUUUUCACCAGACAUUGAGUCCUUGUUGCAUGCGUACUGCACAGAGAAAGGGAGAGAUUGUGAGGAAGGACUACCUUGGCUGAUGUUGUCAGCCCGAGAAGGUGUUCAGGAGAGCACUGGGUUUAGUCCCAAUGACCUUGUUUUUGGCCAUACAGUGCGUGGUCCCUUGGCAGUUCUGCGGGAUGGCUUGGGUGACACUGUCAAUGGUCUGAAUUGUAGUGGUCAGGGUUAAUAUUGUGAUCAUGAAAUGUAACUCCUGUCAUUCUUCACUUUGUUCUCGUCUCUCUCUUAAAAUGCUUCUUUUAGGUACCUGGUUGCAGAGCUGGGGCGUAGUUUCAAUGUGGAGGGUGCUAAGCAGACGUCCGGUGUGGUAGGGCAGCCGCCUGUUGAAUCCGGUUUUCCUUUGGGUUAAAUGCCCUGGACAACACCCACCAUUUACACUUUACCCUCAUGCACAUCCUACACUACUGAUAAUACUGACAUUCGCAUCCCAUCUGGAAUGGUUAUGGUUUUUCGUUGUUUUGUGUGUUAAAUAAAGAAUGUUACACCUCGGAAACCAGUGUAACUCCAAUCUUGUCAUGGCCCAAAGAGCCAGGUCGUGACA